UGUAGGAUUCGAAUUUCGAACCCAUGAUUUUCUAUUUAAGUACUGUAUGUCUGACACACGGCUACCAGAGAAUAGCAUAUAAAUAAAAAUAAAGACUUGCUUGCAUUAACAAACGGCAGUAAGCAGCUCAGAUUGCAAUAAACAUGAAUAUGUAAAUAAAUUGAGAAAUUUUAGUUGCCGUAUUUGUAAUAAUAAUUUUUAAGAAUUUUCUUAAAGAAUUGCCAAAGUGUAUCAACUAUAACGCCCACAGCAAUGAACUGGUCUGCAUAUAAGGACUUCUGGGUAUGCAUUUAUAGCCGAACCACCAAAACCAUUUCACCAGUUAUAUAGCCUUUUUUAUUUUUCUGCUAAAUUCUAAAAUAAAUAAUUGUCAAACAAAUCUACAUAAAGUUUAUAAACAAAUUGCAUACAAUAACUAUUAGAAAAAUUAUUUUUAUUAACAUCGACAAAUAAUUUACUUCAAAUACUUUUUCAUGCCUAAAAAUACAGCACUGCAUAUUUAAAAGUCACCAUUUGCACUGAUAACCUAACAGCGCCACCGCAUGGUGAAUACACAAAAACAACCACAAGUACGCUGUACACUUAUUGCUUAUUAGCGAGCUACAAACAUAUGGCUCGUUGGUCUAGAGGUAUGAUUCUCGCUUCGGGUGCGAGAGGUCCCGGGUUCAAUUCCCGGACGAGCCCAUUGACGACGUGCAGCAUAGCUGCACGUACCGUUCAAAAUUUUUGGUUUUUUUUCUUUAACUAAAAAUUAUUCAAGUAUUUUAUUCAUUUUCGCUAAGCAUGUUCGCUUGUUGAAUGCGGAAGAAAUUGUCUAUUUCAAUUUUAAUAUUUUAAGUGAAUUACAAAAAUGCUAUGAGUUGCUAAUGUAUGUAUGUUUGUAUGUGGAAACAUAAGCAUAAAUUAACAAAAGAAAAUAAAAAGUCAAAUAAAAACGGGAAAUAACACGAAAGCGUUAAUGCUGAUGACUAAUAUAUAUGUAUGUACAUAUAUUAUACAUACAUAUACAUAUAUUAUACAUAUUUCAAUUAUUUUUUUUUUGCUGGCGUUAUCUGACCCUUGUUUUAACUGCAUGGCAAUAUGUACUAUUUUUUAUUCUUUUUAAAUGGCGAUAUGAAAUUGUUUACAAAUAAAACUAAAAUAUGUGCAAAUGCUUGUACUUUUUCUCGGAAUUAUUGUGCUUGUGGAAAGACCGGCUAUCAGAAAUUUGCUGAUUACUACACGCUGAUUUCUCGUAAGAACUAAAGCCGCUUGACAUUGAAUAUUGACUUCCAUUUAUUGGCACGCUAACGCUGCAGCACUUAACGACAGCAUGUGCGCGGCCGUUGGACUCUGACGUGUCCAGCCAAAUUAACCCGUGCUUUAGCAACUGCAAGACAGGGUAAAUAUCGGAGUGUAGGACAAGGUAACACAGCGUAAUUAGCUGUUUAGUUGUGCACAAGCAGUCGAAAAAUAAAUGAAAAAAACUGGAAAAUUUGUUUUUCUUUUUGGACAGCAACACGAAAAAGCGAAAGGCAAAAUCAAAUCGAAAAUCAAUGGAAAAUGUAAAUGAAGGUGUAUAAAAUAAACAGUGAAUAAUUUAAUACAAAAAACGAAUUAGGAAAAAAACCGAUGACUGAACGUAGUGGAAAAAAAAUUAAAAAAAAAAUAAAAAAAAAAAUAUAUUUAAAAAAAAAUUUAAAAUAAAAUAAAAAAAAAAUAAAAAAAAAUAUAUUUAAAGAAAAAUUUAAAAUAAAACCACACAAACCGUUGCGGAAGUAAGACGGAAAAUAAAAUAGCCAACAAAGCGGCCAACAAUACUAUUUUGUUUUUGUUUUCUUUCAUUUUUAUGUUCUUUUUUUAGAAUAAAUAAAAAUUAUUAAUAUAUAUUGAAUAAACUAUUUUUUGUUUUUGUUUUGUUAAAUCAUAUUUAGCAUUAGAGUUUUGUUUUUGUUUUUUUUUUUUACUGUUGCUUUCCAUUAUUACUAGCGUUUCGGCAAUUAGAGAAGAGUGAAUUAUGUAUGCUAUAUAGGCCGCUGGCGUUUGCACUUACGCCAC